GCAGAUGGCCACGGACAAGAUCAAGGUUUUUGGUUCGAUCAUCAAAAUGGACUCGAUGGCGAGAAUUGUCGAGCUGAAGGUCGUCGAGAAGGAGAAAAUGAAGAAAAAGGUGACAAACCGGACCUGGUUCGGCUUGGUCGUUGCGAUCUGAUCGAGCUGGUCAUAAUCGGCGAGGACACGCUGUUGUGCUUCAGCGGAGUUCCCCUCGGAGAGGCCUGUACCGUCGUCAUCCGUUGGGCAACCCAGCUGAUCAUCGACGAAUCGGAUCGUUCGCUGCACGACACCCUUUGUUUGCUGCCCGCGGAAACGUCCGGUAAGGAAUCGAUGGCCAUAGAAGCGUUCGGUCGAGCUCUGCUCUAGCUGCCGACGACGAUCGCCGACAACGAAGAGUACGAUACCGUUUGUAACGCUUAGCUGAACGAAGAGUGCACGUCUAAUCUACAUGCCCAUUGAAAGACGCUGCAGCGAUGGCAGGACCUGGACAUCCUGGACAGCCGGAGCUUGAACAAGUGAAUGUCAGCGCAAUUAUCCUUCACCGGCUACAUGGUCUCCAGUUGUGCGUGUAAUUUAGAUUUCUCCCGACACGAGCAACCUCGUGCCAGCGAUGGUGACGGCAAAGUCUGCAUCUUUUUCACGGCCCGUACGAGCAGCUGAGUGCCUACACUAACAGUAACGCCGUGCGCAGAGUUUCGAGUUUCUUCUGCUCCUCGCGGAUACAAAUAGUCACGCGGUUGCUUUCAAUGGAGGUCUCUGUUGAAUCUGUACCACAGCGGGGACACCACCAAUAGUAACGGUUGGCCGGCACCGGAGUUCUAAAGUCUGCAAACUGAUACUUCGGUUCCGUCUGCGCCAGAUCAAUAACCACCAUCCUCAAGCUUAACAUGGCCACUAAGAAUCGGCGUAUCACCGAUCCGUACUUCACUUUCCUCUGGUUCAAGUCGAUUUGCAACUUGGUCUACAAGCGUGGCUACGUCAAGCAUCGACAAUGAUACAUCACGAUCACAGACCAUCGAUCACAGAUCGAGUGCUGGACGCACUCAACCAGCUUCCAGUACUCCGAGAAAGUUCAACGGCUUAAGUGCUUCGUUCAGCAAGCUGGACGUUCCCAAGCACUGGUCUCGCGCAUCGAAAUUACUUUUUACCACCGGUUGCAUCAAGCACAAGAAAAUGCCCCACCCGCGGCAUGUGCGGAAAACUUUUCUGGCUGCCGUAGAACAAACUUCCGUUGACGAUUUCACCUGAAUCCGCCGCUUCUGAUCAACUACGGCCCCGAUCUCGCCCGUUUUCUCAUCGAAUAAAAUCAGUGAUAAAAUUAUAAAAAAACGUUUUGUUUAGUUUAGA